UUUUCCCUCAAUAACUCAAUUUCCCCCAUUUUCCCCUCAUGGAUUCAAUUUUCCCCUCACAGGCUCCCUUUUACCCCAUUUUUCCCCCACAGACUCCAUUUCCCCAAUUUUCCUCUCAAAGGCUCCAUUUUCCCCUCCCAGGAUCCAUUUGCCCUCAUUUUCCCCUCAAGGGCUCAAUUUCCCCCCAUUUUCCCCUCAGAGCCUCCAUUUCCCUCCAUUUUCCCCUCAUGGGCUCCAUUUUCUCCCAUUUUCCCCUCACAAACACCAUUUCCCCCCCAUUUUCCCCUCAUGGAUUCAAUUUCCCCCCAUUUUCCUCUCAAGGGCUCCAUUUUCCUCUCAAGGGCUCUUUUUACCCUCCCAUUUUUACCUCAUGGCCUCAGUUUCCCCCCAUUUUCCCCUCAAAGGCUCCAUUUCCAUCCAUUUUCUCCUCAUGGGCUCCAUUUUUCCCUCAAGAGCUCACUUUCCCCCAUUUUCCUCUCACAAACACCAUUUUCCCCUCACGGAUUCCAUUUUCCAUCAUUUUCCCCCAAAGGCUCAAUUUCCCUCCAUUUUGCCCUCAUGGACUCAGUUUUCCCCCAUUUUCCCCUCAAAGGCUCCAUUUUCCCUCCAUUUUCUCCUCAAGGGCUCAAUUUCCCCCCCAUUUUCCCCUUAAGAGCUCAAUUUCCUCCUAUUUUCCCCUCAAGUGCUCCAUUUCCCCCAAUUUUCCCCCCGCAAACACCAUUUCCCCCUCACGGGCUCCAUUUUCCACCCAUUUUUUCCUCAAGGGCUCCAUUUCCCCCUCACGGGCUCCAUUUUCCACCAGUUUCCCCUCACGGGCUCCAUUUCCCUCAUUUUCCCCUCAAAGGCUCAAUUUCCCUCCAUUAUUCUCCUCACUGGCUCAUUUCUUCCCAUUUUUCCCUCUCAGGCUCCAUUUUCCCCUCAAGGCCUCUUUUUUCCUCCAUUUUUACCUCACCAGCUCAAUUUCUCUCCAUUUUUACUCAAAUGCUCAAUUUCUCCCCAAUUUCCAUUCGUGGGCUCAAUUUUCCACCAUGUUCUCCUCACGGGCUCCAUUUUCUCCCAUUUUCCCCUCACAAACACCAUUUCCCCCCAUUUUCCCCUCAUGGACUCCAUUUCCCCCUUUCCCUUCAUUUUUCCCUCACAGGCUCCAUUUCACCCAUUUUCCCUUCAAGGGCUCAAUUUUCCACCAUUUUCCCUUCAAAGGCUCAAUUUCUCCCCAUUUUCCCCUCAGGAGGACAUUUUCCCCCAUUUUCCCCUCACAGGCUCCAUUUUCCCCCAUUUUCCCCUCAGAGGCUCCAUUUCCUCCCACUUUCCCCUCAGGAGCUCCAUUUUCCCACCAUUUUCUCCUCAUGGAUUCCAUUCCCCCCCAUUUUCCCCUCACAGGCUCCAUUUCUCCUCAUUUUCCCCUCAAAGGCUCCAUUUCCAUCCAUUUUCUCCUCAAGGGCUCCAUUUUUCCCUCAAGCGCUCACUUUCCCCCAUUUUCCUCUCACAAACACCAUUUUCCCCUCAUGGAUUCCAUUUUCCGUCAUUUUCCCCCCAAAGGCUCAAUUUCCCCCCAUUUUGCCCUCAUAGGCUCCAUUUUCCCUCCAUUUCCCCCUCAAGGGCUCAAUUUCCCCCCAUUUUUCCCUUAAGAGCUCAAUUUCCUCCUAUUUUCCCCUCAAGUGCUCCAUUUCCCCCAAUUUUCCCCCUGCAAACACCAUUUCCCCCUCACGGCUCCAUUUUCCACCCAUUUUUUCCUCAAGGGCUCCAUUUCCCCCUCACGGGCUCCAUUUUCCACCAGUUUCCCCUCACGGGCUCCAUUUCCCUCAUUUUCCCCUCAAAGGCUCAAUUUCCCUCCAUUUUUCCCUCAUGGGCUCAGUUUUCCCCCAUUUUCCCCUCAAAGACUACUUUUUCUUAUCAUGGGUUCCAUUUUCUUCCAUUUUCCCCUCCAUUUUCUCCUCAAGGACUCAAUUUCCCCCCCCAUUUUCCCCUCAAGGGUUCAAUUUCCCCCUCAAAGGCUCCAUUUUCCCCCAUUUUCUCUUCACAAACACCAUUUCUCCCCAUUUUCCCCUCACGGGCUCAUUUCUUCCCAUUUUCCCCUCUCAGGCUCCAUUUUCCCCUCAAGGCCUCUUUUUUCCUCCAUUUUUACCUCACCAGCUCAAUUUCUCUCCAUUUUUACCUCAAAUGCUCAAUUUCUCCCCAAUUUCACUUCGUGGGCUCAAUUUUCCACCAUUUUCUCCUCAAAGGCUCAAUUUCCCCCCAGUUUCUCCUCACAGGCUCCAUUUUCUCGCAUUUUCAACUCAAAAACACCAUUUCCCCCCCGUGGAUUCCAUUUUCCCAGCAAAAAUAUAGAUUUUACAACUGAAAGUAUGGGUUUUGCCCUCAAAAUUCC
ensembl:lncRNA